rnacentral:rRNA from 1 species
AACGAACGCUGGCGGCAGGCUUAACACAUGCAAGUCGAGCGCCCCGCAAGGGGAGCGGCAGACGGGUGAGUAACGCGUGGGAAUCUACCCAUCUCUACGGAAUAACGCAUGGAAACGUGUGCUAAUACCGUAUACGUCCUUCGGGAGAAAGAUUUAUCGGAGAUGGAUGAGCCCGCGUUGGAUUAGCUAGUUGGUGGGGUAAAGGCCUACCAAGGCGACGGUCCAUAGCUGGUCUGAGAGGAUGAUCAGCCACACUGGGACUGAGACACGGCCCAGACUCCUACGGGAGGAAGCAGUGGGGAAUAUUGGACAAUGGGCGCAAGCCUGAUCCAGCCAUGCCGCGUGAGUGAUGAAGGCCCUAGGGUUGUAAGGCUCUUUCACCGGUGAAGAUAAUGACGGUAACCGGAGAAGAAGCCCCGGCUAACUUCGUGCCAGCCGCCGCCGUAAAAC